CCCCACUCAGGGUCACACCUGGGAGUUUCCAGUACUCCACCAGUCUUGACUACAGGAGGGAGAGUUAAGCAGAGGCAUAUCCAUUCCGUUCCUAGUUUGGGCAGUGGCUAGCGAGUGGAAGGCAAUCUGCUACAAGU
rnacentral:snoRNA from 1 species